rnacentral:rRNA from 1 species
GUGUCAGCAGCCGCGGUAACACCGGCGCCCCGAGUGGCACUCGCGAUUAUUGGGCCUAAAGCGUCCGUAGCCGGAUUGGUAAAUCCUCUGUGAAAUCGUACUGCUCAACGGUACGGCGUGCAGGGGACACUGCUAGUCUCGGGACCGGGAGGGGUCAGAGGUAUGCCGUGGGGACCGGUAAAAUGGGAUAAUCCACGGUAGACCACCAAUGGCGAAGGCAUCUGACCAGAACGGAUCCGACGGUGAGGGACGAAAGCCAGGGGAGCGAACCGGAUUAGAUACCCUUGUAGUCC